rnacentral:rRNA from 1 species
CUCCUACGGGAGGCAGCAGUGGGGAAAAGGGGACAAUGGGCGAAAGCCUGAUCCAGCCAUGCCGCGUGAGUGAAGAAGGCCUUCGGGUUGUAAAGCUCUUUUAGUCGGAAAGAAAGAGUUGCAAUGAAUAAUUGUGAUUUAUGACGGUACCGACAGAAAAAGCACCGGCUAACUACGUGCCAGCGCCGCGGUAA